AUUGAACGCUGGCGGCAGGCCUAACACAUGCAAGUCGAACGAGUGGCGGACGGGUGAGUAAUGUCUGGGAAACUGCCUGAUGGAGUGGGAUAACUACUGUAAACGGUAGCUAAUACAGCAUACCAUCAGAUGUGCCCAGAUGGGAUUAGCUUGUUGGUGGGGUAACGGAGCACCAAGGCGACGAUCCCUAGCUGGUCUGAGAGGAUGACAAGCGACACAGGAACUGAGACACGGUCCAGACUACUACGAGAGGAAUCAGUGGAGAAUAUUGAACAAUGGGCGAAAGCCUGAUGCAGCCAUGCCGAGAGUAUGAAGAAGGCCUUCGGGUUGUAAAGUACUUUCAGCGGGGAGGCGUUACCCGCAGAAGAAGCACCGGCUAACUCCGUGACAGCAGACGCGGUAAUAC
rnacentral:rRNA from 1 species